GUCUGAAGUCACGUUCCAAGAGAUUCAGCUUGGCUGAGUACUGGGAGGAUCUUCAGCCUGGCGCAGAGCGCCAUCUCGUGGCAAGAACGGGCAGCGCAGUUGGGCCGCGCCCUCUAAUCUUCCCAGAGGACCAACCAGACUGUGAGUUAACGAGAUCCGAAGACUGGGCCUGCUAACUACAGUCGGCUCAAAAUAGUGAUGAGUCCAGAUGAUAUUUUGAGAUAAGUGCUUCAACUGUAAUAUGCCAUGAAAGUAGCUGUGAUUUCUGCUGGAGGAAAGAAAACAUCUCAGGCGAUGCUAAUACUCCAGGGCACUCUGCCUGGAUUUGUAAUUGAAUCAGUUGCUAAACUGCAGUUAGAGGUGCCUGCCCCACUGCCUGCGAAUGGGAAGAGAGUGUGAGAGUGGCCUCUUGUUAUUCCGCAAGCAUUUCUCGAGCAUGUUGCAUGCUAGCAGCCCUGAGGAGAAACAGGUGAUCUUAGCACCACAGGCCAUAGUCUCUAUCUGGGAGGGGGAGACACCGUGGAGAGGAGUCAACUCAAAGCACAGUGACGCUCACGCGUGCCUGUGGGAUCCAAGAAAAGACUGUGGAAGAAGGAACCUGGAGGCGGCAGCCAUUUUGGGAAAGAUGACUCCAAAGGAGGAAGUGAAAGUGGGGUUGAAGCCUGAGGAGGAAUUCUGGGAAGCUGCCUCAGAGCCACAGUGUCAGGGGCAGGAGUGGAACGGUGCCAAGGGAGGAAGUGCUUUGUAAAUAUCUGUCCAUUGCAAGAAUAAAAGAUUAUUUCUGAA